rnacentral:rRNA from 1 species
AAGUGGAGCAAUCCAUGAGUAAAGUGGCGACCGGGUGAGUAACACGUGACUAACCUACCUUUCAGUGGGGAAUAACCUCGGGAAACCGGGGCUAAUACCGCAUAAUGUCUACGGACCAAAGGAGCAAUUCGCUGGAAGAGGGGGUCGCGGCCGAUUAGCUAGUUGGCGGGGUAACGGCCCACCAAGGCAAUGAUCGGUAGCCGGCCUGAGAGGGCGCACGGCCACACUGGAACUGAAACACGGUCCAGACUCCUACGGGAGGCAGCAGUGGGGAAUUUUGCGCAAUGGGGGAAACCCUGACGCAGCAACGCCGCGUGGAGGAUGAAGCCCCUUGGG